GAUGAACGCUAGCGGCAGGCCUAACACAUGCAAGUCGAGGGGCAGCACAGAAACAGCAAUGUUUUGGUGGCGACCGGCGGACGGGUGCGUAACGCGUAUGCAACCUACCUUUAACAGGGGGAUAACGGAGAGAAAUUUCCACUAAUACCCCAUAACGUCGAUCAAGGCAUCUUGAUUGGUUGAAAACUCCGGUGGUUAAAGAUGGGCAUGCGUUGUAUUAGGUAGUUGGUGAGGUAAUGGCUCACCAAGCCUACGAUACAUAGGGGGACUGAGAGGUUAGCCCCCCACACGGGUACUGAGACACGGACCAGACUCCUACGGGAGGCAGCAGUGAGGAAUAUUGGUCAAUGGGGGCAACCCUGAACCAGCCAUGCCGCGUGCAGGAAGACGGCUCUAUGAGUUGUAAACUGCUUUUAAACAGGGAUAAAGCACAGUAUGUAUACUGUGUUGAAGGUACUGUAAGAAUAAGGAUCGGCUAACUCCGUGCCAGCCGCCGCGGUAA
rnacentral:rRNA from 1 species